UACGUAGGGGGCAAGCGUUGUCCGGAUUUAUUGGGCGUAAAGAGCGUGUAGGCGGCCAGACAGGUCAGCUGUGAAAACUCGAGGCUCAACCUCGAGACGUCGGUUGAAACCGUCUGGCUAGAGUCCGGAAGAGGAGAGUGGAAUUCCCGGUGUAGCGGUGAAAUGCGCAGAUAUCGUGAGGAAGACCAGUGGCGAAGGCGGGUCUCUGGACAGUUCCUGACGCUGAGGCGCGAAGGCCAGGGGAGCAAACGGG
rnacentral:rRNA from 1 species